rnacentral:piRNA from 1 species
CAUGAUGAACGAGGGAUCCAGUGUCUCCC